GGAGAAGGGUCUGUCUGCAGACUGCAAGACAGGGGCGUAACUUGAAGUGGGCGUAACUUGACGAAAGAGGCGUAACUUGAAGUUGUCCAAAUCACACAGAACCACGCGAGAUGUCAAAACGAGAUUUUGUCGGGCUGCAUUCGAAACCGCAUACCCUUUAAUUAGGCACUUAAUUUCAAUAAGAACUAAUUUAACGAGCGAUAAAAGAGUACAUACUCUACAGCCUGAAUGCGUAUUUGUGUAUGAAGCAUUAAUGCGAUUUGGAUAUCAUCAUACGCUAUGUUGAUCAUGUGACCUACAAAGUUAAAACGAGCGUAAAAACUUAAAAGAUAUGAGUGACAGGUUUAAUGAAUGUAUUUGUAUCUUGAUAAUUAAGAUUGUAGUAUAGCCAAUACUGUUAAUUUAAGUUUUUAUAUUUUUAACUCCACUAAUGUGAUUUUUUAUAGAAUUAGAAAACCCAAAAUCGUUAUCUCUAGAAUAUUUUUUCAAUUAUUUUAUGUGAAUUUUUUUUCUUGUAUAGUAUCUCAUACUAUGAUGAACACGUUAUUUUUUUUAUUUACUGUUUUAUGGCGUUAAGAUUGUUAUUGUUAGAUACAACCGUCUUACCAUGAUCUUUUAUGUAAUAAGUUUGGCAAUAAUAAUAAAAAAGAGGUACAGGUGCACUACCACCUCACAGCAUCACUAACUCAACAGUCCAGUACAGUCUCUCUCAGCGACUCUGCAAUAUCUGCACAAACGAAACGUCGAACAGCUGCUCAAAGAUCUCACCUUUGGAGAAGAUUGUUGAUUUUAUACUCUAAAAAUACGGUGAACCCCACAUCUUACUAUCAUCUCAACACAGCUGAGACAGUUCUGCUGCUGCGCUGUGCUUCUCAGUCUCGCUCUUCUCAACGGGGAUGUCGUUGAGCAACAGGAUGAGGAAGACCUUGAUGACGGCUCUCUGAACCACACUACCUUGAAGCGAGAGCAGAAGAACACGUGCAGGACAAUCUGAUUGCUGCUGUGUCUGCUCCAAACAAUCGUGUGCUGCUCUCCAUGAGCACCACUACCUGUAAAACAUUUACACAGAGUUUACAAGUACAUGCAUUGAUUUAUUACUUUUGUAGUGUGCUAAACCACUGAACUGGUUCAAAACUGUCCUUGAGCACAGCUCUUUUCUCCAGGUUGAUCAGAGGAUUGUAGGCCCCUGUAAUAAGAGCACUGUCAAUCACUUCAGAUAAAAGCUCCAUCACAUUUUUUGAUGAUGCUUUUGAAGCUUCUGAAAGUCAGCCUUCGUCGUAUAAACAGAAACCAGCAGAACAAACUUUACCAAAAUCAAAUCCUCAGUGUCUUUUGGUCUUUCUCUAGAUGCUCUCACUGCUCUGGGGCCACUGAUGAUGAAGAGACCACAGCAGCAUCUGGUCCUGAUGAGACAGUAAGAGCUGGAGUGAUGGAGCGUCUCAUCCGUGUCUCUGGACCAUUUCCGGAUGCUGCAGUGGACUUCUCCAUCCUCAGUGCACACACCAGUCUGCAGACAUUUUCAUAACCUACAGAAAUACACACAAUACAAAAAGUCAUUACUUUAUUCUUUUGUUUCAGGUUUUUCCUUUUUUUCCCCUUUCCUUGCAGGUCCUGCUCCACCACAAAAGAUCUGCAGCAAAUGUACAGAAAUCAACAAUAAGAAAAGUGCUGUAAUAACUGUUUGAAAUUACACUAAUUAAAAUGUUUUAUUUAUUUCUCUAGUGUACUUACACAAAUCCUUUGAUGGCAGCAUUCCUUCUUCAGUCACUCUACAGCAGAUAAACAUAAUCUGUUCCUGUAACAUCCAGACAAGAGUCAAGUAACCUCUGUGAUUUAUCUGUGAUAUACUGCAUCUGCAUGUUGAGUUAGUAACUGAUUUUAACGGCGGUUGGCAUCCAGCUUAUUGGUGCAAUACCGCCCUCUUCUGUCCCGGAGUGUGGAUCAGAUAAUAGGUUUUCCUACUAAACCCAUAUUGCCAACAACUUAUCAUUUUGACAUCUCGCGUGAUUCUGUGAGAUUUCGACAACUUCAAGUUACGC
ensembl:lncRNA